rnacentral:tRNA from 1 species
GCCCCUGUGGCGGAAUUGGUAGACGCGCCUGACUCAAAAUCAGGUGUAGCAAUACGUGCUGGUUCGAGUCCGGCCAGGGGCA